AACGAACGCUGGCGGCAGGCCUAACACAUGCAAGUCGAACGUGAAGCCACCUUCGGGUGGUGGAAAGUGGCAGCCGGGUGAGUAACGCGUGGGAACGUGCCUUUCGGUUCGGAAUAACCCAGGGAAACUUGGGCUAAUACCGGAUACGCCCUUCGGGGGAAAGAUUUAUCGCCGAAAGAUCGGCCCGCGUCGGAUUAGCUAGUUGGUAGGGUAAUGGCCUACCAAGGCGACGAUCCGUAGCUGGUCUGAGAGGAUGACCAGCCACACUGGGACUGAGACACGGCCCAGACUCCUACGGGAGGCAGCAGUGGGGAAUAUUGGACAAUGGGCGAAAGCCUGAUCCAGCCAUGCCGCGUGGGUGAAGAAGGCCCCAGGGUUGUAAACCCCUUUCAGCGGGGAAGAUAAUGACGGUACCCGCAGAAGAAGCCCCGGCUAACUCCGUGCCAGCAGCCGCAGUAA
rnacentral:rRNA from 1 species